rnacentral:rRNA from 1 species
GACGAACGCUGGCGGCGUGCUUAACACAUGCAAGUCGAACGGAAAGGCCCUGCUUUUGUGGGGUGCUCGAGUGGCGAACGGGUGAGUAACACGUGAGUAACCUGCCCUUGACUUUGGGAUAACUUCAGGAAACUGGGGCUAAUACCGGAUAGGAGCUCCUGCUGCAUGGUGGGGGUUGGAAAGUUUCGGCGGUUGGGGAUGGACUCGCGGCUUAUCAGCUUGUUGGUGGGGUAGUGGCUUACCAAGGCUUUGACGGGUAGCCGGCCUGAGAGGGUGACCGGCCACAUUGGGACUGAGAUACGGCCCAGACUCCUACGGGAGGCAGCAGUGGGGAAUAUUGCACAAUGGUCGGAAGCCUGAUGCAGCAACGCCGCGGGCGGGAUGACGGCCUUCGGGUUGUAAACCGCUUUCGCCUGUGACGAAGCGGGAGUGACGGUAAUGGGUAAAGAAGCACCGGCUAACUACGUG